GGGGGUUUAGCUCAGUUGGUUAGAGCGCUUGCAUGGCAUGCAAGAGGUCGUGAGUUCGAAUCUCAUAUCCUCCACAA
rnacentral:tRNA from 1 species